rnacentral:tRNA from 1 species
CGGAGAGUAGCUCAGCCUGGUAGAGCGCCUGCUUUGGGAGCAGGAAGUCGCAGGUUCAAAUCCUGUCUCUCCGA